UUCAGCGACCAAAAGUAGCGA
rnacentral:misc_RNA from 1 species